rnacentral:lncRNA from 1 species
UCAGAGGUGGGUCUGUGACGACACAGCUGGACCUGCCACCUCAGCCCAGGACUUCAGUGCAGAGACCCUGUGUCCCAAGCUGCAGGGAGCAGGAUGUUCUGUUUCCUGGAUGUCCUGUUCCUGACUCUGAGGAUGAAGGGGAGGAGCAGCCUCCAUUCUCAGACAGGGCCCUGGAUGCCCCUGGACCCAUGAAGGAAGCUACAGCAGCAGAAGCCACAGGCCAGUCCUGAGCAGAAGCUGCUGCGGCUCACCCUCCUGGCAGAGGGGGAAGGGGGUUCUUGUGUCACUUCCCCAUCGGCCUGGAGCAUUGUGGGACCACUCAGGCUGUUAUCCCAUGCUGCACAGUAAUAAUCAGCCUCAUCCUUGGACCGGAGCCCACUGAUGGCCAGGGAGGCUGAGGUGCCAGACUUGGAGCCAGAGAAUCGGUCAGGGACCCCUGAGGGCCGCUGAUUAUUAUCAUAGAUGAGGUGUUUGGGGGCCAUUCCUGGGAACUGCUGGUACCAGUAUACAUAAUUACUUCCGAUGUUGGAGCUGCUUCCAGAACAAGAGAUGGUGACCCUCUGCCCGGGGGUCCCAGACGCUGAGGGUGGCUGGAUCAGCACAGACUGGGCCCAGGACCCUGGAAGUGAGAGAGACACAGACAUGGUGAUUGACAAGAGACAAAAGGAGACAAGAGGAGAAAGCAGGGCCCCAUGGGCUUCCCAGGGCCCCUCUCUUGGUCCCCAUCCUGUCACCUGCACAGUGACCAGAGCCUCUGAGAUUCACCGCUGCCUCCGCCCCGCCCCGGUUUCUGGCCACUGCCCCCACUCUCAAGUCCCGGCCCAGUAAGGUGGCACCUGUGUCUCCCUCCUGUGACCUCAGGGCAGUCUUCACGCUCUACUGGACUCCUCAGGAGUGAAUCUGUCCAUGGAUCUUUGGCUGUACAUUGUAGAGGAUUCAGGUGAUGUCUACACAAAGUCCUUUUAUUUCAGGAUCAAGCCCAGAGCGGGGACCGGCCCCAUGGACUCACUUCCCACCAGUGUUUGACACCGGGUCCUCUCCUCUCAUGUGGCUCCUUCCUGGUGGCCAGGGCUCCACUUCCUCUGUGGAUCCUGCUGCGCUGAGGAGAAAGGGAGCUCUUCCCUCUGGGAUGUCCUGGGGAGGAAUUCCCAGAGGGUGUUUCUGGUAAAUCGUUGUUCUCCCUCUACUUCCCCAGAUUUGCAGUCAUAGUCAUCUGGAUACUGUGACCAGGGAUCUUGCCUAGGAGUCUGUCCUCCAAGCACUGAAUGCCAGUCUGUGGGGGAUCUUGGCAAAUGUCUUUGGAGGGUCUCACUUAUGAGCAAAAAGAGCAAAGAUGCUCAGUCUUUGAAGAUGGGAAGAAUUAAAAUUUUAACUUGGUUUGACAACCAGAGUCUGUCCUCAGGUGAGCCUGAUAUGUGAUAGCUCUUAGCAUCGAGCACCCCAACUAGGAUUUCCAGGGAAAUAUUAUGGUUCAAAUUCAGUAGUGAGUGUUGUGGGGGUGGCUUGAAGAUGAUGGAAAUUAUUCAUCUUUGAUCUGUAAUGACAUCUAGAAUCUAAUAAACUAAAAACAAUAAGCUUAAGAAAAAAGAUAAUUCUGUUAAUCAAAAUGAAAAAUGAAAUAAUGUCUAUGACUUCAUGAGUUCUGGCAUGAUACACCCUGGGCUCUUAACAAAUAUUUGUUUGGGGUAUUUUAUGGGGAUGGAGGAAAACAGCUGGAUGGUUAUGUUGAUAUUUAUAUACUGUUGAAUGUAUCAUCAGGCAGUUGCAAUACAAUGAGAUUAUGUAUGUAUUUAUUUAUUUAUUUUUUUGAUCCAGAGUCUUGAUCUGUUGCCCAGGCUGGAGUGCAGUGGCACCAUCUUGGCUAAAUGCAACCUCCACCUCCCAGGUUCAAGCAAUUCUCCUGCCUCAGCCCUCCAAGUAGCUGGAAAUACCAACGUGCGCCACCAUGCCCAGCUAAUUUUUGCAUUUUUUUAGUAGAGACGGGGUUUCACCAUGUUGGCCAGGCUGGUCUCCAACUCCUGAUCUUGUGAUCGGCCCACCUCGGACUCCCAAAGUGCUGGGAUUACAGGCGUGAGCCACGGCGCCUGGCCACAAUGAGAUUUUAAAUGCUCCAUUUAAACAACCAAAUAGUGAGAUUUAUUGCAGGCAUUUAAAUAAAACCAAUCCGUAUAUGUAACUGAAAUAAAAUGGAUGCUGUGUUUUGGGAUUGCAUUUCAAGUGUGUCAGUGUUUUAAAUGUUCCUUUUAGUGUAAG